UUUGUUAUAUGUCGUGGGGAGUAUUCAUAUUUAGAACUGUUAUCAGACAUGACCUUGACCCGUCUUUAUCUAAUCGAUUAUUUUUGAGCUUCUUAGGGAAAAGUCGAAUCGAGGAUCCUGCUAGUCUGCGUCAAGCGUUGCAACAUCGCGUACCAAAUAUAAUAACAUAGUCAGCGCCGUUUUGACUGCGUUAGUAAUUGCUACAUUUGCAGCCGGGGUGUGCGGCGGAAGCUUUGCUUUAUUUGAAGAGACGACCGCCCAGACGGCUAUGUUUGAACAGUCAUUGAUGGCAUGUGUGCGUGCUCUCCCAGUGAACGAAAGCGUAUGUACUGCCCGGAGGGAUCGGUCUUCGAAAAUAGUCAGUGCCGCAAGAUAGUUUACCCCACGGCGAUUUGUACAAAGGUAUGUGCCUGCAGGUCAUAUGUCCACCCGGCAUGGUGUGGCGUGGUAAAAGGUGCCAAGAACCAGAAUAUCUUACCACAAUAGAAAAUGUGAUGACUAAUGAGGUGCGCAAACAACCUUCAUAUCUGGAAGUUAGGCUUCAACACAACGUCCCAUACAGAUUUCGAAACAUGUAAUAAAAUCCGAACAUUUAAUCCCUAAGGAUAUGGGUAGGGAUUCAAUACCGCCCAAAGGCUCCACAGAGUAUUCGGAACUCACAAUGCCAACAAAUGCACUUGUUAAUAACAAUCGUUCUGAAAAGACCAUUGAAUUGCAGAGCGGAUGAGAAAUAGGCAGUGUUGCGCCCACAUUCGGGAGUUGUUUCAAAGUGUACACACCUCGUAUAUACAAGGUAUAUGAAAAAAAUGGAUUUGAUUCAGUCGCAAGUCUAAUUUAUGCGACCCCAAAAUAUGCACUGCUCUGAUGAUGUACCUUAAGCCCACAGAGAUUAAAUACGUGCAUCCAACUUUAAUUAUGCCCCCAUUCCCCGGGCUCAACGACAACAGCUGAUAAUAAUAAUAUUUCCACGACUGUUCCGGGAAAACAAAAAAAAAAAAAAAAACAGAAAAUUGUUCUAGCUAUUGUUACAAUUAUAGGUGUCCACCGGGAUUUUAUGAUUUUAUAAUUUUAGAGGAAUGCUGUCGCCAUCGUUCUGGAAAAUUCGGUUGUACACCAAAGGAUGGGUGUUUAUGGGACUGGUGUUGAUUACUGGUCCGAAACUACAUUUAUUGUUGUUGAAACAACACUCGAUUUUCUGUUUCGAAAAUAUACACUUAGUCCGGCGUGAAUUGAAGAACCUGAAAAUGAAAUUAUGGCUUAACUCUAGUUUAAUUAAAACUCUUAAAUUUUUUUUUAAAUUUUUUUCCAGUGGUAGGUAUUUUUACCCUGAUCCCGGUAAAAUAUUUUUUGCGUGGGGGCCGAACCCGGGAACCCAGAUUGUUGACGCGAAAGUCCGUGUUCAAGACCCGGACUCACUUAUCCGAUAUAAACAAUAUAGGCUUCUAAAAAUACAUAUCCAACAUGUGGUCACAUGGUGGGGUAGUUUUUAUGCGCCGGUGUGGGAUACCGAAUAUCUGAUGGAACCGUUAUAUGUGCGCCAUAGGAAAACGUGGACCAAGAUAUUCAAUGUUCUGCCACCGGAGCUAUUCAAUGUGUUGAAUAAUGUAACAAAAAAUCGUCAAAAUGCCGAAUAUCGGGAUGUGCCCUUAUAUGGAGCUAGUGCUAGAACCCAAAAUUAAAUACAAAUACCAAUUUUUAGACAAAUUGGUGGAAAUAUGUGGCUAAAACUAUUAAAAUACCGAAUAUCGGGAGGUACCGUUAUAUGGAGGCUAUACCAACCACCCUAGACGGAAUGCAAAUUACUGUGCCAAAUUUUAAAGCUCUAUGUUAAAUAAUGU